UACGUAGGGAGCAAGCGUUGUCCGGAUUUAUUGGGCGUAAAGAGCUCGUAGGCGGUUCCGUAAGUCAGGUGUGAAAAAAUCUGGGCUCAACCCAGUGGAGCACCUGAUACUGCGGUGACUCGAGUCCGGUAGGGGAGUGUGGAAUUCCUGGUGUAGCGGUGAAAUGCGCAGAUAUCAGGAGGAACACCAAUUGCGAAGGCAGCUCGCUGGGACGUAACUGACGCUGAGACGCGAAAGCGUGGGGAGCAAACAGG
rnacentral:rRNA from 1 species